UACGGGGGGAGCAAGCGUUGUUCGGAUUUACUGGGCGUAAAGGGCGCGUAGGCGGCCAGCACAAGUCAGUUGUGAAAUCUCCGAGCUUAACUCGGAAAGGUCAACUGAUACUGUGCGGCUAGAGUGCGGAAGGGGCAACUGGAAUUCUUGGUGUAGCGGUGAAAUGCGUAGAUAUCAAGAGGAACACCUGCGGCGAAGGCGGGUUGCUGGGCCGACACUGACGCUGAAGCGCGAAAGCUAGGGGAGCGAACGGG
rnacentral:rRNA from 1 species